CCGGCUGCGGAGGCUGUUUGCUUAUUACCCGGCACUGCACCGUGUCCUGUUGAAGUGCCACUGGCCAGCGCAGACAGGACUGGCUGUUCCCGCAGAGAGAGCCACACUGCGGGGAGCAGCAGCCCCGACAGAGGCAGACAGCAGAGAGCGGGGCUGGGCAGAGACCAGAGGCCAGUCCGGGCCGGAAGAGAGGCCGAGGGAAGAUGGGACAGGGAAGGGACCCCCGAGGAACACCGCCUUCCAGAGCACUCAUUUCUGUACCUGUCAAGGUGAACAGUCCCUUCAGCGGACAAUCGCUAAGCACCUGGUCGGCACAGGCUUAGGCGAGGAGGACUCCCAGGAAGAAUGCUGUACAGGAAGAGCCGGAAGGAGAGGACAAGUUGCUUCCCAGAGAGUCAGGCCCUGAUAUCUGGAGUGAAAAAGAUUCCAACUCCAUGUCAGGAAGCCGAGACACGUGGCCUGCAUCCAUUUCUGACAGCAUUUUGUCAUGUGUCAUGUCAUUAAUGGGACAAGGGUGGGCUGGAGGGAUCCUCUGGAGGGAGCCAGCUCCAGAAAGGUCCUGCUUACUGAGCCUCUGGAAUGGGAAAUGGCCUUUUUCCUCCUGGACACAGAAGGUGUCCACCCCGCGGUCUGCCAAGCAGACUUCCUACCAGGCCCCCAUUUCUGUACCCAGCACCCCCGCACUAGCCACCCUGUGUCCUCCGUCACCCUCUGUUCACUGGCCUCUCACUAGCCAGUGCUGUUGAUGGACUAUGUGACCGCGUGCCUGGGUAGAUAAAACGGGGCCCCUCGAUCACGCCGGCCUGGAGUCUGCACACUGCUGCUUCUAGCUGUGUGAUCUUGGGCACUUCAGUAAACCUUUCUGUUCCUUCACCUAUCACAUGGUGACAACUGUGAUAACCGAUACUGGGCUUAAUCCAGAAUUAAAGAUAACCAUCGGAA